rnacentral:rRNA from 1 species
AGUGAUAUAUAUUUAACGGCCGCGGUAUCAUAACCGUGCAAAGGUAGCGUAAUCACUUGUCUCUUAACUAGGGACUAGUAUGAACGGCUAAAUGAGAGCCCAACUGUCUCCUAUGCCCAAUCAAUGAAACUGAUCUUUCAGUACAAAAGCUGAAAUAUCCCCACAAGACGAAAAGACCCUGUGGAACUUUAAACCUACCACUACAUGUACAAUUAAGUCCCAACAUAGGGUAUAACAUACUUUGUCCUAAUAGUUUAAGUUUUAAGUUGGGGCGACUGCGGAGAAAACCAAAACCUCCAUGAAAUAGGCUUACACCCUACCUACGGCCUACAAGCCAAAUGCCUUUAAAAUUGAUCCAGUAGCACUGACAAUCGGACCAAGUUACCCCAGGGAUAACAGCGCCAUCCCACUCAAGAGUCCAUAUCGCCAGUGGGGUUUACGACCUCGAUGUUGGAUCAGGACACCCAGGCGGCGUAGCCGCUGCCAAAGGUUCGUUUGUUCAACGAUAAAUGUCCU